UGAGGUUUAGACAUAACAUAAGCAUUAAUGACUGGAGUAUUAAUCAAUUUAGAACAUAAUAAAAAAGCAAUGUUAGGUAUACCCUGUAAAUAUGUGCAUUUGGGCUGUUGUGUUUGACAUACUUGUUUCUUGCUUAUGACCUGUGCAAACGAAUCAUACUGUCACCAGGGAGAUGGACUACAGGUGGAUUUCAUAACUUCAGCUAUCUAAGGUAUUAAUCUCAUCUCCCUCUGUAGUUAAGGAGGAGGGGAGACUUUCUUAGAAGCUGUUUUAUCUGUUGACUCAUGCUUUGCAGGUACUCACUUCUUUUGACUGUAGAGGAAGCCUAUGUGACCUCAGUUUAGUUUAGACUAGGCAUGUUUAGCCAGUUACAAGUAGGUGAAAUUGUGUCAUAAUGUUACAAUAAAUUGGGCAAUGAUGUGUGCUUGAACCCAAUGAGCCUCAUUGCAGGAGUCUGACGUAUCAAGUUCUAAUUUUUUUAACUCAGUUUGUGCAGAAUCUGUCACUGAGAAAUUCAAUUAGCCACUAAAAGUGGCUUCUAAAAAGUUAGACUGCUGUGCCUCAUGGUGACAAGCUCAUGCGAAUAAAAGCAUUAAGUUGCUAAUCUGUAUGUUUAUUUUUAUAUGCAGUCUCUUGAUAUGUGAAAUUAUUAACAUUUGUAAGUAUGCAUAAAAAAAACCCGCAAUGGUAUUAGUAAAAUUGAGAUCAGAACAGUGUGGAUAGAUGUGAGACUGAAACCUCUCCUGUCUGCAGAGGAAUAGCAUUCAGCAUAUAUCAGCUGGUUAAAACAGUUUAUGAGGAAUUCAUUCAAAUGUUUGGCCUGUCAUGGUAUGUGAUGUUCGCUGGGUCAUGCUAGGGGAAUGCCUUUUGUGCCACACCUGGAGCCUGGCAAAUGCUUUGCAGCUUUGGUGCUGAUCCAAUCAAGCACAGAAACAACUGGGAAAUGACUCAUGGUGGAUGCUUGCUGAUAAUCUUAGCUUUUAAAAAGUACAGUUUGUCAUCAUUUUUCAUUAUGGUGAAUAUGGGUGUCUGGUCUCCUUUGUUUUACAGUUUUCUGAUGUUUGCCAUGGACUUUCUUUUCAGGUCAUGUGCUGCAAUCUCAUUCUCUUUUCACUUGAAAGAUGUAAUCAGACAAAAAUCCCUUCAAAACCAGUUUUGCUGAAGAAAAGACGAGGCAGGAGAAGCAAAUGUAUGAGAUUGCAGUAGUGACUGCUACACUAUUCCCUGUGUAUAUGAAACUCCAGAGAUAACUUUUUUCAUCUGGCAAAAUUAAGACUGUGAAAUCAGCUUGGAAUACAGGUAGGUUUUACUACCAUCUUUCAACUUGAAUAGGUGUAAGAGAUGCAAGUCUCCAUCUUAAGGACAAAUGCAAAUUCCUUAGAUACCUAAAUUGUCUCUAGAGCGUUGCUUUGGUUGAUGCUGUACUGGUAAUUGGGUGUGCACAGAGCAGAUGCCAUCUCAGGCAAAAUUAAAUAAGCAUUCAGAAGCAGACGAGGAAGGGAGCUUCCCCACUGCCUGACCAAGCUGCAGCAUGUGGAACUGCAGGAAGCUUUGGUGCUGAGCGUGAGGAUUUGAGUAAGAGCACUGAGGUGGCUUCCUAUGCUCCAGGAAACAGAACUUUGUCGUAUCUUGUAACGGAACAGUGUUUCAUGAAAGUAUUUGCACGGUGCGUAUAGGAGAGAGAAGACUGAAGCCCCUCUGGCAGGACCAGCUGCAGCGCACAUGGCCAGGAAGCGCGGGCUCACUGCAGGUGAGAGGCAGGAUGUGUACACACCUGGGCUGGGGAAUGGCGAGCAGUUUAGUCCCAGCUGAAAAAAAACACCACACAGGCUGAGGUCCCAGGAAUUCGGGGGAACCCAGGUGAGUGAAGUGCUCUGGGCAGUCAUGGCUGGAUUUCUCCUGGUAGGUGCCCUGUCACUGCCAUGUCUUCUGCAGUGCUGCUUCGCUCCAGCAGCGUGGCAACUCCCGAGUGGGAGCAGCCGUCACCUGCAGCCACGUUGGAUCCAGUUUGUUGUACAAAACCAAAAAUGAACAUAACGCUGCGACUGCAGCACAUUGGACGUUCUGUGCAAAGUAAUUAUCCACCCUAAUGUUCCUGUGAACGAGCUGGUCAACUGAUUAUUUGCAGUUUUCAAAGAGACGAGGCUGAGGUGAUGCAUUUACCUGGGGCCCACAGUAAGCUGUCAUGUGAGGCACAGUUAAAAUUACAGGAUGAAAUCUGGAAUUUCAGCUCGCUUUCUACAUGGGGGGGGGGGGGGGGGGGGGGUUGGUUCACUCAACCCCCUGUCCCCA